rnacentral:rRNA from 1 species
UACGUAGGGUCCGAGCGUUGUCCGGAAUUAUUGGGCGUAAAGGGCUCGUAGGCGGUUGGUCACGUCGGGAGUGAAAACUCAGGGCUCAACCCUGAGCGUGCUUCCGAUACGGGCCGACUAGAGGUAUGCAGGGGAGAACGGAAUUCCGGGUGGAGUGGUGAAAUGCGUAGAGAUCCGGAGGAACACCAGAGGCGAAGGCGGCCUACUGGGUCAGUACUGACGCUGAGCCGCGAAAGCCAGGGGAGCGAACGGG